GGCUCUGCCCACAUCCCUUUUUCCCAGAUCAUCUCCUCACGCAGCCUCUCCACAUCCUUUCCAGCCCUCAAGCCCCUAAACCAAGAAUCCCCAGACCCAGGAUUUCACAGGGAUGCUUCUGCCUUGUGGGAGCAAGUUGGGAGGCAGAAAAAAAGCUACAUCUUUGGAUUAAAGAGGCCUUAGAAAUACAAAGUAUGAUUAUCCAGGGUUGUGGCAUCUCCCUUGCCUGGUCUUGGGUUAAUCCAGAACCUGGUGGGGAAGAGCCCAUCGAGGAGGCCUUCACCACACACCUGCUGAUGGCAGCAGCUCAGGUUCCAGCUUCUCCUGCUCCUGGGAGCCCACAUCCUCUGUGGUCACCUGCCUGCACCCUCUGUUAUCUCUCAUGCACCUUCUAAUGAUGCCUUCCCUGGCCCUGACUCACCUGCUGAUAUGGAGACCCUCCCUGUCUGGCCACAUCCUCUGUCCCCCCACCAAAAAGGAAGGAGGAUUGGCAGCAAACAGCACUCCAGCACCCAUCAGCCACGGGGGAGCUUGGAAAAUGUGCAUUUUUGUUAG
rnacentral:lncRNA from 1 species